rnacentral:rRNA from 1 species
CCUACGGGUGGCAGCAGUGAGGAAUAUUGGUCAAUGGCCGUGAGGCUGAACCAGCCAAGUAGCGUGAGGGAAGACUGCCCUAUGGGUUGUAAACCUCUUUUAUGCGGGGAUAAAGGUGUCCACGUGUGGAUGUUUGCAGGUACCGCAUGAAUAAGGACCGGCUAAUUCCGUGCCAGCAGCCGCGGUAAUACGGAGGGUCCGGGCGUUAUCCGGAUUUAUUGGGUUUAAAGGGAGCGUAGGCGGGUCUUUAAGCGGGUCGUGAAAUUUUGUGGCUCAACCAUGAGAGUGCGGCGCGAACUGGAGUCCUUGAGAGAGCGGAAGGCAGGGGGAAUGCGGGGUGUAGCGGUGAAAUGCUUAGAUAUCACGAAGAACCCCGAUUGCGAGGGCAGCCUGUA